CCCUUAAGAGCCCUCAGCUGCCACUGAAGAAGGGCUGGAUCCCAGGGCACUGUGUCAUGGGGUGGACACGUGCAGACAUUCUGGUCAGCAGUCCUAGCCUUCCGAGCUUCUCCAGACUCUGAGUGGGUCUUCAGCAGCAGUAUUCCCAAUAGCCAAGACGUGGAGACGACCUGGAUGUCCAUCGACAGGUCUGACCUAGGACUCAGGACCUCACCCUCUGCCUGAAAAGGGCUCUUCCUUGAAUUCCCUUCUUCUUCACUUAUCUCCAGGCUCCACAGACUCUGAGGAUCUAGCAAAGAUGUUAGGACCUACAAGUGAAUGAGAAAACUGUUUUUAAAAGCCUCCAACAUACACUUGUCCUUAAUCCUUAAAGCCUGCGUUGGUCACUGGUAUUAGAAACAUGGAGGACACUCUUGUAGAAAUUUCUGUGUAAAUGUAAAGUGGUAUCGUUAUCAUUGUAGAAUGUUUUGGAAGGGAGAGCAUUAUACAGGAAGGACCAAGAAAACUGAACCAUGAGCAACGGAUGUUGUCACCUUCUGGGCAUCCUUAACUUAACCAGAUAAUUAUUCUCAGGCUCAGAAACCUCUGGGACAAGAAGCCAUGGCUAUAAGCCAAGAGAGAAAAAAUUGGAUAUUUCCUUGAUACCCAUUUAAGAGAGGAAAACCAGUUAGAGAGUAGAUCAUUUAAGUAAAGGAAAUGAGAAAGCACCACCAAGUCAGUGUCCAGUUAUUCAAUAGGAUAAC
ensembl:lncRNA